rnacentral:rRNA from 1 species
UACGGAGGGAGCUAGCGUUGUUCGGAAUUACUGGGCGUAAAGCGCGCGUAGGCGGCUUUGUAAGUUAGAGGUGAAAGCCCGGGGCUCAACCCCGGAACUGCCUUUAAGACUGCAUCGCUUGAAUCCGGGAGAGGUGAGUGGAAUUCCGAGUGUAGAGGUGAAAUUCGUAGAUAUUCGGAAGAACGCCAGUGGCGAAGGCGGCUCACUGGACCGGUAUUGACGCUGAGGUGCGAAAGCGUGGGGAGCAAACAGG